CCUCAAGUAAUCUCAUUGUACUGAUUUUGAAACAAUCAGAACAGACUACACAGCUGCUAUAUAAGUCCAUGCCUGUGUCCCCAGAACAAGCUCUCAACCAACCUUGGUAUGGUUUCAGGAUUGGUGGUGAAAAAU